rnacentral:rRNA from 1 species
AACGAACGCUGGCGGCAUGCCUAACACAUGCAAGUCGAACGAGACCUUCGUGUCUAUGGGCGCACGUGUGCUUACCGCGUGGUAACCUGCCCUUAGGUUCGGUAUAACUCCCCUUAAGGUGUGCUAAGACCGGUUAGUGUCUUCGGAGCAAAGAGUUAUCGCCUUUUGAUGGGCCCGCGUUGGAUUAGCUGGUUGGUAGGGUAAAAGCAUACCAAGGCGACGAUCCAGAGCUGGUCUGAUACGAUGAUCAGCUAGAAUGGCACUGAGACACGGCCCAGAACCGUACGCGACGCAGCAGUGGGGAGUACUAGACAAGGGGCGAAAGCCCGAUACAGCCACGCCGCGUGAGUGAUGAAGGCCUUAGGGUUGUAAAGCUGUUUUACACGGGAUGAUAAUGACAGUAACGGGAGAAGAAGCUCCGGCUAACUACGUG